UACGUAGGGUGCAAGCGUUGUCCGGAAUUAUUGGGCGUAAAGAGCUCGUAGGCGGUUUUGUCGCGUCUGCUGUGAAAUCCCGAGGCUCAACCUCGGGCCUGCAGUGGGGUACGGGCAGACUAGAGUGCGGUAGGGGGAGAUUGGAAUUCCUGGUGUAGCGGUGGAAUGCGCAGAUAUCAGGAGGAACACCGAUGGCGAAGGCAGAUCUCUGGGCCGUAACUGACGCUGAGGUGCGAAAGCGUGGGGGAGCAAACAGG
rnacentral:rRNA from 1 species